rnacentral:rRNA from 1 species
UACAGAGGUGGCAAGCGUUGUUCGGAAUUACUGGGCGUAAAGGGCGCGUAGGCGGCCUUCUAAGUCGGACGUGAAAGCCCCAGGCUUAACCUGGGAACUGCGUCCGAUACUGGGAGGCUUGGACUCGGGAGAGGGAUGUGGAAUUCCAGGUGUAGCGGUGAAAUGCGUAGAUAUCUGGAGGAACACCGGUGGCGAAGGCGGCAUCCUGGACCGAGAUCGACGCUGAGGCGCGAAAGCUAGGGGAGCAAACGGG